CUUCUUAGAACAAGAUAAUUUAUCUCCCACUUUGAAUCUGUGGUCCCACCCCUCCUCUUCUCUUGUCUAGACUUCCAAGUGCUGGCUUUCACCACACUGCCCCACCUUGUUCCCCCCUCAAGCUCUCAGCCUUCAUCUUCGGAUUGCCACUUUUUCCUUCACAGCUAAGGGAGGGCAGCACGAGAAAGAAAGAGGGAGGCAAGCAAAAUUCCUGAAUGGAUAGACAGAUGCUACGUCAUCGGAGCCGCAUCCUCCACUCCACAAGAGGCUAGGAGCCAGAGAAAGAGACAGGCCAGCGGCAGGGGCCACCGAGCCAGCGCGCCUCCUCCCAGAAGCCGGAGCGGAGCAUCGGAGAAGAAGCAGCCUCGUUUGCUUCUGGUGUCAUCGUAGGUGUCCACCUUUGGCUUUGGGGGUACAGCUUCCCACCACCCAGGAAGGAAGGAACUGGCCUGGAUUUUGGCAACCUCUUGCUUGUGUAAGCCCUUUCUUAGCCAUUGUCUCAGUUGAUCACCCAAUGGUCCUGAAAAAUUGGUGAUACUGUCCCCACUUUACAAAGGCAUAAUCGGAGCCCCAAGUCAGAGGAGUAGGAAGCUGGGUUGAGCAUCAAAUGGGGCUUGGUGGAUUCCAGAGCAUAUGCUGUCUCCCUCCCCUGUGCCGACUUCCUGCAGAACAUGUUCCAAACACAAGCAGAGGGACUGAAAGGAGAAGAGGACCAAAUGGGCAGGGGGGCUUCUCUGCAUAUUCUCAGGGGAGGAAGGCCACUCCUUCUCAGGUGCAGGGGUGAAGUCUGAGGAAUGCUGAAACAGACCUUGCAAGUUGAAGAUGUGGCUGGGGAAGAAGCCACAGGAGCUGUAGAAGUCAACAAAAUCUUUUCAGACCAAAAAGAAGAACCUACUUCAUCCAGUUGGCUUCGGUGCCUUGUGAGAAGCCUUCCUGAUUGGCUGAAAGAUGAGGCUAAAUUCUAGCAAGUUGAGUGGCUCCUUCAAGAAGCCUGUGUGCAGGAUAGAAGUGGAGAGGCCAUAGCCUCCAGCCUGGGCAGCCCAUUGGCACCUGGAGCCACCUCAACUUUGCCUCCCCUUUGCUCCUGUGUCUAUAAGCUGCCCAUCCCAGCCCAUCCUGGUUUCUCCUGUGUCUUCUGAGCUGAGAUUUCUCUGAGAUGGAAGCCCCAUCUCAUGUCUAAUAAAGACUCUUGAAUACUGAACAACA